rnacentral:tRNA from 1 species
ACCCAGCUGGCUCAAUUGGAAAAGCUUGCGACUCUUGACCUCAGGGUCGUGGGUUCGAGCCCCACGUUGGCUG